CUUUAGGAUGCACUUUGUUGACGAAGACUUCUCUAAUCUAAAAACCACAAACAAAUGACCUUAGUCCCAAAUGCCCUUAGUCAUUGUUUGUGGACCAUUGCAUGAAUGUCACCCGUCAGGUUCUUUCUGGGUAGGCAGAAACAAUGAGAGGGAGGGAGGAGUGUUGGUAAUUUCAAAAGCUAUAUAACUACAGAGCCCCGGAUACAAAGAUACACCUGCUGAAUUUCCCACUCUCAACUCACACGACGACAGUGACCAUGAAGUUUGCUAUCCUGAUCUGCAUUUCUGUUCUCUUUUACCUCUCUGUGGCAGAAACACAACAGAGCGAGGACAACAAUGUUCCUGAUUUUGGAUGUACUCGUGAGUACAAUCCAGUGUGUGGAGAUGAUGGAGUCACAUACUCCAAUGAGUGUAUGCUACACUGGGAGAGCAAGCAUCGUAACAAGAACGUCAGCCUAAAGCACGUAGGAGUGUGUGAGACCUCCUGAACUCACUGCUGUUACAUCUAUGGCAUCCAAAAUGGCUUUCCAUUUAGAUACUACAGCAACUACGAAUGAUUUUCUGUCAUACGUUAAUCAGUAUCAUAUAAUGACAUAUGCUAUUUAAACUUUUCCAGACAUCACUUUGUCAACAUGUAAUUUCAUGCAAUAAAACAGUUAAGCAUUUAAGAGCUCUAUUUUAUUAAUAAAUAAGAACUGUAAUUUCAAAUAAACCAUAUUUAUAAUCUACAUUUUCUUUCUUUCUGUCCUGAAAAGGACAAC
rnacentral:lncRNA from 1 species